AUACGGAGGGGGCUAGCGUUGUUCGGAUUUACUGGGCGUAAAGCGCGCGUAGGCGGUAUAUCAAGUUAGGCGUGAAAGCCCCGGGCUCAACCCGGGAACUGCGCUUAUUACUGAUAAACUAGAGUCCGGGAGAGGGUGGCGGAAUUCCCAGUGUAGAGGUGAAAUUCGUAGAUAUUGGGAAGAACACCAGUUGCGAAGGCGGCCACCUGGACCGGUACUGACGCUGAGGUGCGAAAGCGUGGGGAGCAAACAGGAUUAGAAACCCCGGUAGUCC
rnacentral:rRNA from 1 species